UUUUUUGUUUUUUUUUUUUUUAUUGCCUUAAAAUACAAUAGCUUGUCCUAGAACACAGAAGUCCUGGUAUUGUGGUAGGCAGUGUCUGAUUUACUAGAGUACAGAGAGUUCAGAGAUGCUGAAAAACUCCCAGAAAAUCAUAACCUGAUAGAUUCCUUGCACUUCACCAUGUGUGAAGCUGGGACCAAACAUCUUCCUGUAAUUUACACAGCUGAAUAUUCACCUACCAAAUCAAACAACCUCCUUCCAAAAGCUCAACUAAACUUCAGUGAUCUCUUGAGCUCCCCACAGUCCCACACUGUGAGAAGCACAGGCAGUAACAGAUCCAGAGCUGUCUCCAACCUCCAGAAGCACUGACUGUUAUCCCUCCCUGUUCCCUGCACUGGAGAGGAAAAACACAGCCCAAAAUUUCAGCCUCUCUCAGGUAACAGAGAGUAUACUGAUUUAAUCUAUCCUAGGAUGUUUUUUACUUUCCUAAAAGGAAUGAACCUAAGGGAAACAUCAGCAGAUGUGAAAGGUUGAGUAUUCUGUCCCUGCAUCAUAAUGUUUUGUGGUAUAAAAUAUGAAUGUUCAGUGGACAGAACAAUUCAUGCUGAAACAUGCACAAUAUCAAGCCAAGGGGGAAGGAGCAGCUAAGUUUGUUUCUGUACAGCAGAGAUUUAAAGUAGGCUAAUACAGAUGUCACCACCUGGUCUGACAAAGGCAUUUGUAUCUCCAAAGAAUUGAAAAUACACAAUUAAUUAAGAUGAAGCACCAGGUUACCUCCUAGGUAAAAAGAGGGGAAAAAGGGGGGAAAAAAUGUUUUGGGAGAAGUUGGUGCAUUCCAGCAGAAAAACAUCCCUCUGUAACAGAUGCAGACACUAAAAUCAUGUUUAUAUCCAAACUGUGAGGGAUUCUGCAACAACAAUUACUUAGUAAUUGUCUUACCUUUCCUUGCACAUAAUGGAUUGCUUUCAGUAGUGGUUAUUUGUUAUCCUGAGAUGCUUUUUUACCACAUCAACUGUGAGACAACUAAUUAUUUUACCUACUUUUCAUCUAUCUUUCCAGCCUCUCACUUCAGCUGCUGUUUUGUUUUCAAGUUUUAUUAUGAAUUUUGCCAUAAUUGGGACUUUCAAUCAAGCACUAACAAUGAAAUAGUGGCAUAAUAUUCCCAAUUUUCAUUUAAAAUCACCACCUUGUUGACUGCAAAGACUGGAAUGUGUUAACCAAAUGAAUUCAGCAGCUUCAAAGCACAAAAAAGUAUUACCGCACAUUCACUGGAUUUCUCAGCUCUUGACCUGAGACUAAUGGAAAAUAAUUAUAUCAAUUCACAGAGUGCUGAAUAUAUAUGAAUAUAUAUAUAUAUAUAUUAAAUAAUACCAAAUGCUGAAAAAUACUGAAAGUACAGAAAGUACUUUUUUCUUUUUUAUUUUUUCUUUAAUCCCCUGUGAAGUUAACUGCUUCGCUUCCCAGAUGCUGCUUCUCAGGUGGAGCUAAGAGCCCUGCAGCACAGGAAGGCAGCACAGCCCAUUUCCAUUGGCACAAGCACAGCAUCACCAGAGCCCAGCACUGAGCCCAGCAAAGCCCCUUGUAAUGCUUAUAUAAAUGUAUGGUGCUAACAAUAAAUCACUGUGCACGGGGGGAGUACAAACAGCUGAAGCAUGAGGUCUACUGUAAGCCCCAGUUCUAGCAAAAUCUAAUCUCACAAUCAUCAAUUUAGCUCCAUUUACAGCAAAUUUUAAGGUUUUUUAGGUUUAAUUAGAACACUGUCUGCCUGAAGUUUUUCUGAUGACUCAAAGAGCCUAGAAGCAGGUUGAAACAUAUGGUGCUACAGCAGUGGUAGAAUAAUAAAGCAGGCAGACUUUCACAGAAGUCUGUGGAAUAAUUUACAUCAUCUUUUUGCUAGUAGAACAUUUAAAGAAUGAUUAUCCUUUAUGAAAUCCUUGGAGCUCCUGUUAAAGGAGCAGCAUCAAGACCCCAACCUGGCAGCUGCCUGUACUGUAAAAUUACUCAGGAGGAUCUCCAUAAAGAGCAGUCUGGAAGCAAAUGAGCAGCAGUAAUAUUAAAAUAUCUCCUCCUAAAAAAAAAAAAAAUAGUAGCUGCACUGUUCAGGUAGGAAGUACCAUUAUUAAAUAUAGAAUCCACUAAAUAAAAAUUGAACAUACUACUUCUGUAUGUACAUACAGUGAAUGGACAGAGGAGACAAUUAUUCAUCAAGAUAUGUAUUUUUCAGAUCUAUGACAAAUAAUUUAUAAGCAUGAAGGAAAAUGUAGUUUUCAAACUGAUUCAGUCAAAUGAAAAUAUUUACAUAACUUUACAAAAGGGAGACUAUAUAAUAUUAAAACAUUAAUGCCCACAGGUUCUUUAUAUAUGCACCCAGUGCCUUGGUAAUAAUUUAGUGAUACAAGAUUUCUGUAUGCCAUGAAUUGCUGUGUAAUGUUCUACAUGAAAGAAUAACAUGUCUAAUUUUACUCUGAAGACAAAUGAUUUGUCAUGCAGAAACGUUCAUUAGAUUUAACCAUUACUAAAAAACAGGGUAAUAAAUCAUGAUUUUGCAUCAAAUGAAGAAGCAGCACCUUUCCUAGCUUGGUUGUUCAGUCAUAAUCAUGAUAAAUGGACAUCCUGGGACAGGUGAAUUUUAACAAGCAUUCAAUACCCUUAGAUUAAUUAGAUUUUUGUCUUCUAGUUUCUGUUCUCUCUUCCUUUAUGAAUGAGAGACUGGAGUUAAAAGCAACAUUGAACAAACAAGCAUUCAUUGUUGCAUUAAAAAGCUGUCACAAGGAGUCCUUCAGUAGUUUCUCUAGUUCUGAUCAUUCCACCCUUCUUUACAGAAAAAGAGAACAUGCUGAAAGAAACCUGCAUUUCAACUUAGCAUUUCAACCAUACGUAGCAAAAUAUCAUCCUGAAACAUAAAUAUGGAUGCUUUUGCUCUGAAAAAACUAAAUUCUGGCACACUGUGGAUCUACAGGCACAUAAACAUUUUUUUUCCCCUAUUCAAUACUGUAGAGUCUCCUGAGAGUUGCUACAUCAUUGAAUCUUUGUGGGAUGGGAAAGAAAGAACAGGAACAGGAAGCAAAAAAAAAAAAACCACAAAAAAAACCAACAAAACAAAACAAAACAAAACAAAAACCAACCUACAGAUGAACUAUCUCAACAUUUAGUCCAAUUUCUUACAGUGUUGGGAUGUACAGGACAGUAGCUCAAUAAAUCCCCAACCUGUCAGUGAGUGAGCAAGUCCAUCCUUGCAUAUUUGGCUAUCCAGUGGUUUUUUUCAGGAGUUGAGGACUGGAAUUCAGCAGGUGUGACUGCAAGUGUGAUGGCAUGAAAGCCUGAAGAAACAUGACUGGGGAUUUAAUUUAAAUGUGGUAAUAAGUAACCACCAUUAUCUCCCAAAUGAUGUGCUCACAGAGUACUGGGAAGGAAUAGAAGCAGAAGCAAAACAAACAAAAAAGCCCCACUGAGUUAUCUUUAAAAAGUUACAUCUGCCCAGCCUGGAUAAAAUGCAGAAGGGGCCCAGCAUCAAUAUGGGAAUUGAAUUAUUUGUUUAGUCUGAGCUUUGCUGAGGAAAAUGGAAUCUAACACUUCUAUCUGUCAGGGCAGGAUGAGCUGAGUCAAACUGCUGCCUUGGCUGACAAAAUGUUCUGUGCAUUGGUAGCAAGGAAGAAAAAACUAAUAUCAUGCCAACAAAUGUUCUGAUUUGAAAUCACCAGUCACAGGAAAGACUAUCUUGGAAUACUAAUUAUCCAAGAGAAGAGCAGAGAUUGUCCGAUUCCAUAUUAUAGUGUAAGUUCAGUGCUAUAUCUGAACAAAUGUGAACAGAGCUAAUUUAGGACUGUGCCAAAGGAGCAGACAAGCAAAACCCCUCGGGUACUACUGAAGAUUAACGUGGUCAGCAGAGUCAGAAAAUGGCCUGAAGAGAAAUGAAAUGGAAGAGAAGGAGAAAUAGAUUAGUUAUUAAAGAAC
rnacentral:lncRNA from 1 species